GGAUUUAAGUACUAACUUAUACAAUAUAUACCUUCUUUAUAUUUUCAGUGCAUUCUUGACUCUUUAUGGGUUGACAACUUGUAGGCGUGUUGAAUCGCGGACGUAAGAAGACAGCGAUUGAGAAUGGAAUGGGACCGGGAUUGGGACUAGAACUUCGAUUGGAUUUGGAAUCGAGGAAAAGGGAAUAAAAGUCGGGAUUGGGAUGCACAUUUUAAAUGUGCAGCGAUCUGCAGCGGCUGAUAAACAGGUAGUCCCCGGAUGGCCAAGAUGGAGUUGAAGAUGGUACUAUGUUAUGGUACGGACUGAGAUGGGAUGGAGAUCAAUUUGGCUGGACCCGAACCUGCAACAUUGCGCUUGAUGAUGACUUUUCGGUCUAGCCGGCGACAAUAAAUUUCUCAAUUUACCAAUGCUCCAGA